GCGGGUGUAGCACAAUGGCAGUGCGCCAGCCUUCCAAGCUGGUUACGUGGGUUCGAUUCCCAUCGCCCGCUCCA
rnacentral:tRNA from 1 species